rnacentral:misc_RNA from 1 species
UCUCCGUUGGUGAACCAGCGGAGGGAUCAUUAUCGAGUUUAUAACUCCCAAACCCUAUGUGAACUUACCACUUGUUGCUUCGGCGCGCGCUUCGGUGCCGCCGAGGAUACUUAAACUCUUUGUUUUUAUAAGCAUUUCUGAGUGGCCGAAAGGCAAAAUACAAAUGAAUCAAAACUUUCAACAACGGAUCUCUUGGUUCUG